AAUUUUACCAUUUUAUUAUCGUAAUUCUAUAUGUCGAGGACCCCACUGUCAAUCAAUCAAUCACUUCAAUCAAAUCCAUCCAUCCAUCCAUCCAGAUCCAUCCAUCCAUCAAUCGAUCAAUCAAUUAGGCUAGUUAAGCCCGAUCGAUCCUGGCGGCCUAGCUAUAGCUAGCUAGCUAGCUAUAGCUGAGCUGAUCAUGAGCGAGCGCGAGCGCGGCCUGCCUGCUAACGGUUAAAAUUCAUUACCGGUACAUAACGUCUGCUAGUAUAGUGCUACUAGCUAGCUAACUGGGAACUGACUAGUCUAGACUAGAGGUCUAGUCAAGGGCAAGGCGAAACCACACUAUGAUCUUAGUUCUUAUUGAUUACGUUGGAACUUGGAUUCGAACCUCUCGCUGCAGAACGAGGCAUGGUCAUGGAUGGAGUCGAGUCUGUCGCCUUACUCACUGAGCAAGCAGGACUUGUUGAACUUGAAUGAAAGACAUGGGUUUCAUAUUAAACGGUUAUCAACCGAUAUUACGACUAGUCUACUCUCCAAGAGUGUUGGGUAUUUAUUUUUCUGACUAAAUAAACUGAUGCCAUUGGGAAUUACACACACUCAAAAUUUUGACGGAAUGAAGCCAUAUUUUGACCUCAUGCAUAAAAUGUGAUCUACGCAUUGUUGAGAAAAGGUUGCAUGAAAACAUGCUUGAUUUCUACUGAUUGGACGUAUCAUUAAUAAGCGAAAAUUUCCAACAAAGCUACCGGUGAAUGCGCGGAAGGACAGUGGAGCUCAGCUGAUAGGGAGGAUGAUGAAUAGGAAAAUAUACCUCACACAGAUAUGGAUAGUUGGGACUGGAGGACAUCUCAGUGGAGGCCGAUGAAACCAUGUGGAGUGUGUCUCUGUUACCUUGGCCUUGAGGACAGUAUAUCAUCAACUGACCUUUCCUGUCACGUAUUAUGCCAUUACUGGUUUAAGAUGUGAAAAAUAGUUGAACUUGUUCUACUUUAUCCUGUGAUGCAAUCCUCAUCACCUUGACAAUAAAACAGCCAGGAAGAGACCCAGUGACACCCCAGCAAUACAUUAAUCAGCUUCAUCACUUUGCUUGAGCGCUCAUGUGCAACAUGUAGGUCAUGUGAUCGGAUGUGGUAUGGUACAGUCAAGGACAAUAGACAGGUGAGGUUUCAUAGUCUUAACUUGCAGACUUACAUUUACAUUAUGACAUUCCUUUUUAAAAUGGGAUCUCUAUCCAAUAUGAAUUUCUAUCCAAAUGACGCCAUUAGAUAUCUAAUUAAAAGAUGAGUUAAUCUUGAAUAUAGGCUCCUGAAAAUCACCUCUUAUUUGGUAUACCAUUUUAUAACAAAGAAUGCUAUUCCACCACUGGUAAUUUUUCCACUAUCCAAUAAACACUGAUGAUUUGAAGAUAUCCACCUUGUUCUUAAUUUGUAUGAUAUAUCACAUUAAUUCUAAUGAAAUAACUUACAGUAAUUAUUUGAAAUGUUUUCAAAAUUAAUAUCAGGUUUGAUUUGAAUUGAACAUUUUAAAUAGAAUGUAAUUUUGGAUAACCUAAUAUAAAUGAUGUAACAGAACAAUGCAUCUCAAUUGAGAAUGAGAUUGAGUUGAUUUCUGAUAAUAAAUGUGCAAAUUAUUCAGGAUUUGCAUGCCGUAUAUACUUUGCAAAAUUAUGAAUUGAUUUUAGUCUUCAGUGUAUAAAAAUGGGAUAUCUUGGUAUCUCUAUUGAAGGAUUCAUAUAAUAUUUACACUGAAAUCGGAGUUCAAACUCAACCUUUUAGGUUUGAUCAACUAAGUAUCUCUCAAAUAACUUUAAGAUGGUGGUGUCAAAAUUUGUUGAAAAUUAGUGGACAGAUGAUGUAAUUGUCAAUUGAAGUUUGAUUUCCUGUACAGUUGUGCUUGAAUGCUCCAAAAGGGGAAACCCCUGAAUAAAAAGGAGAUGGAAUGAAAGGGAAUUUUGAAAAAAGCCGUUUGCACUGUAAAGAUUGCGCUAUUACGCUUUUAUUUUAAAGCCUAAAAAAAAUCCUGGCAACAAGAGACUGACAUUAAUUAGUGAUGCAUGCGAAUCACAGGAGACGGUUGAUAGCCUUACAUCCGUCGUUGCUAGGGAGAUUCCGGAAGAUACUUGUCAGCGCUCAUUAAUCAUCAUGCUUUGUUAACCAGCAAACUCAUCACCACUGCGGAUGUGGCAGAGGGAAAGAGACAGAAAGAGAGAGAGAGAGGAAGGGUGGGGAUAGAAAUAGUAUUAGAAAAGGUUUUGGAGAAAGCAUAUUUUGAGAUGCCCUAGCAGAUAUAUAAAAAGUGACAAGAAGAGUUUCAAGAGAUAAAUCAAGGCUGCUAAUUAUGAAAACUCAGCCACAUUAUUCUCAUUUUCCUUGAUUUUGAAGGUAGAGUAAAUCAAUUAUUUUAACUUUUUACUGUUAUUGUAGCAGAUGGAAUGUGAAGGAAGUGAUUUAUCUUUAGUGUAAAAUAAUUUUUAUUGUUUCAUGUAGAUACAAAUUUUCAUCUUAAUGAGAAAGCUAUGAGUGUAAUGAUUAGAGUACAAUUAUUUUUUAAUAAGGGACAAAAAAUAAAAACAUUAAUUACAAGUGGUCAUGUUCUGAGCUUUUGCUGUGUCUUAUGAACCAAUCAACCAUGUGUCUUCUCUCCUUAAUUCAUGAAUUCAUCUUAACCACUUGUUGGAUUUGUUUAUAGUUUUGUAAUGCUUGUCUACUUUAAUUCCUUCUAGAGCAGACUGAACAGUACAAAUUAUAAAUGAUUAGUGGAAUUAAAGCUUUUUGUGUUUCAUUGUGUGGAAUUACAAACCAGUUUGCAUCAUGCUUAAACAGCUUUCAAAGAUAGAUAGUUCUUGAUUUGAGAAGAUUAGGGUCAAAUUAGAUGAAAUCAAAUCAAUACCUGUCACUUGGUAAAGUCUUUCUCUCAGAAACUAGGUUAGCCAUCAGAUAGGAUACAGAAUGAAAUAUUAUAUGGAUAAAAUAUAUAAAAGGAUAUAUUACAGAGCUGUCAAUGAAUGUGUGAUUUAAACUUUAAAAUGAAAACUUUUACAUUUUGCAUAGGAUUUUACUUUCACCGACAUACAUUUUACAAAUUGAACAACUUGAUAUUAGGGAAUAUUUCCUUUGUCCAGUUGCAGGUUACAACAUUUCGUAGCAGAACUGAAUUAAAGAAAUUAAAAGAUAGAAUAAUAAGUACCUGGUAAAUUCGAUACCCAGUGAGUAACAAGGGUGUACACUUAAGAAAAUGAUGAUUAAAUAGUAGUUUAUCAUAAAAUAUGAUAUGAAAGAGCUUUGUCCCAAAUCAUGUCAAUUUUAUGCAGUAUUUUUUAAUGGUCAGUUGAAAAGGAGGCCUUAAGAAUGGACUUGUACCAAAGUGAUGUCUUUUAAUGGUGUCAGUCAUUCUUUCAGCACUAAAGAGCCAAUCACCUUUCUCUCUCAUGUGUAUUGAGAAGUUUUAUUUGUCACAAUGUUUUUGUGGAUACUCAUUUGAAGCCAAGUUCUCAUUGCUAUUAUAUCUGCAAGCAUGCAUGAUCUGACCAUUCAUUUGUAGAUAUUUUUGUCAGUUACUAUUGUUCUCUAAAUCAUUUGAGGUUAUGAUUGGCACUAGUAAGGUUAAUGACCUGUUCUGUAAAGCUUAAUCAUUGUAUAGGUCAUAAUAUGAUUCAGUCAGUCACACACUACAAUUUAAAUGUACAACAAUUAAUUAUUUUUCCUGACUUUGAUUUUAAUGAAAAUAUUAAAAAGCAGAUCACCAAAACUUGAGAAGCUUUAAGCUCUUCAAAGCCGCAUUGGAAUAACUCCUGUGGAUAAGCACAAUAAUGGGACUAAAUUCAAGUUCACAAUGUUCUCUGUGUAAAAGAUGACAUGGAGUAAAGAUUGAGUGGGGGGAGGGGGCAGGCUAGGAAUGUGGCAGAUGUGGCAAAGUUUUGUUUCUUUUACACUAAAUAUUUACAAUACUUUUAUUCUACUCAGAAUCAAUAAUUGCGAUUUCCUGUUUGCUCUUGGAAAUCCUAUAAUUAAUCUAGAGGAGGUAACCUUGAGUUUAUUUGAUUGUCAAGGUUAGGUCUUAGCAGUUUUCUAACCCUAACAAGUGUUCUCAGAAUGCCUUUAUUACAUUCCUGGACAUACAGUGUGAGCUACUUUUCUCUCUUCUGAUUGGCUAUCUAUGUAGAUCAAAUAUAUUUCCCUUGUUUUUGGGGGGUUUUUUUCAUGAAGACCCCCCCCCCCUUGUCUGAUUGUAAUUCCACAUGAACCAACUGCAGUGUUUAUCAAGGACAUUUUUGCAGCUGUUUUCCUGAUGUUUCUUUCCAUUUGCCUAUGUGUUAACAAAAUAUAGGUCAUCAAAAGUUGGGGUCAUCAAAUCUUGAUUUGACCAAAUACAUGCAUGAUGCAUGUACAAAUACUUCAUAAGUUUGGUUUAAAUCCUGUCUAAAAUGUAAGUAAUUAUUUUUACAAAAAUGACAUCAAAAUUGCACUGAAAGUACAUGUAAGAAAGUUAUGAAUUUUUAUAAUUAAAGUUUGCGUAUUUUCACAAACUCAUCUUAAAGCAAACCAACAGCACCACACUCUCACUAUUCCUUUGUAUUUUAUUAUGUGACAUGAAAUGUAUUCCAUUAUUCCAAAACAAUGUAAUACUCAAUUUCAUUCCUGGGCCAUGUCUUACAAAGAGUCACGAUUGAUCCGAUCAAUCACUACUAUGGCAAGCCAGCAAUGUCAACAUCUAUUAUGCAUGUUUGUUCAAAAUAUUUUCUAUUUAUGAUGUAUAUUCAUGCAUGCAUUGUUUUCUUAAAAAUUUAGUGUGCUUCUCUUUGUUUUAUAGAAAGGACAUUGUGCAACUUUCCUGUAUAAAAAAAUUAUGGCACUGAUGGAUUUCCAUAGAGAUUGAUUGGAUCAAUAGUAACUUUUUGUGAGACGGGCCCUGAUGAAAAAUGAAAACAUUUUAAUAAUUUAUUGAGAUUAGUGAAGAUCUUCUAACCGAUUUUAAUACAAUUUUCAGUGCCAUGCCUUUCUGAUUUUUUUCUAUUUGUUUGAAUUAACUUGUCAUUGGGGAUAGACUUGCCUUUGAUUAUCAUAAUGGAAGUUUAGAUUUCACGGGGGCCGUCUUUAUACAAAGUGUAACGAUUAAUCCGACCAACAUGAACUAUAUGGAAAUCCAUCAAUGUCAUAAUUUUUUCUAUAGGAAUAUUGCACAAUGUACUUUGUAACAAAGAGAAGCCCACCAAAUUUUAAAGAAAAUGAUGGAUGUAUGAAUAUACAUCAUAGUUAGAACAUAUUUUAAACAAAUAUGCAAAAAUGUAUGUUAAUGUUGCUGGCUUUACAUAGUUGUGAUUAAUGGGAUCAAUUGCAACUAUUUUUAAGACGGGGUCCUGAUUUAGCACCAUGCUACUGCUGCUGCUGCCGCUGCUGCCACCACCACCACCACUACCACUACUACCACCACCACCACUACCACUACUACCACCACCACUACCCCUACUACCACUACUACCACUAUACUACUACUACUACUACUACUACCACUUCUACUACUACUACCACUACUACUACCACCAUCACCACCACCACCACUACUAGUAGUUUUACUACUGCUACGACUACUACUACUACUACUACUACGACUACUACUCUGACUACUACUACUGCUGCUACUACUACUGCAACUGCUACUACUGCUACUACUACUACUACGACUACUACUACGACUACUACUGCUGCUGCUACUACUACUACUACUACAAUUACUUUUUCUACUACUACUUCUGUCUUUUUAAUUUUAUUACUACAUGUGUACUACUUUAGCUACUAGUUUUCAUGUACUACCACUAGUAUGUAAAUAUAUUUUUAAAAAAAACUUUUCAUUUUAAUGUGUUUCAGGUGGUUGGAAAAGUAAUUUAUAGAUCUUAGGAAUGUUAUUUUGAUUACAAUUUACAUAUAUGCAUGUUAUUUUGAUUACAUAAUAUCAUGUGUGCAGUUAUAUUGUGAGGGGCAGCUGUAAAUGCACUCUAUCAUUGAGGCGUGCAUAAUGUGUUCGUGCAUCUCUGCCAAAAGCCGGAGGCAGCGAUGCGGCAAGGCUUUCCUCAACGAUGAAAUAAAAUGAGGAAGCGGAGCAGACAUGUGGCGGCGUAGGGCGUUUUUAUUUAUAGGUGCAUCUUAUUUCCGCUGUGCGCAUCAGACCUAUCACAUAAUUUAGACAGUGCAUCUACGUGAUGCUCCUGAGUGCUUUGAUUGGAUUGAAUGCGAAGUCAUGAAGAAAAAGGGUUUAUUAUGUAUGUGUGUGUGAGAGAGAGUGAGGGUUGGUAGGAGAGAACAGAUGUGUAGUAUGUUUAAUUGUGUGUGUGUGAUGUGGGUGUCUGUCCCUAGGGGAGAUUACAUGUCAUGGUAUAUAUUUUUUUAUGUUAUUUCACUCUAUUGAAAUUCAUGUAAUAAUAAAGCUCUCUUGUGUAUGUAUCUUAAAAUUUGCUUUAUUUUAGAAGAAAAACCACCAUAAUUUUACUGUUAUUUUAUCAUUGAAAUAUUUUAGGGUCUUUUUCUUAUAAGAAAAAUAAUACAUUAUUGCAAUUAUACAAUUCAUCUUUUCUCCUAGAGAACAUUUCUAUUAAGGACGUUCCACAGUUAAAAUGAAGUCCAUGUCAUUUUCACCAAAUUUUGUAGAGAGUUACUUUGGUAUCUAGGCAUCAUGAAAAAAAAAAAAUAAUAAUAAAGGUUCAUGUGCUUAUUUAUUUACUACGGGACUUCAAAGUCGCUGUAUUUGAAUGAGAAUUAUGCCUCUCUUAGACCUCACGAAUUCACCAAAUGAGUUUAAAUCAUCUUUACUCAGUGGAUACCGCAUCAAACUUCAUCAAAUUUUCAAGAUAUACAACAAAGUGUAUACCAAAGUAAGAGAAAGUCUUUUAAUUGGUAAAACUAUAUCUAUUUGGAGUCAGCAGCACACUCAUUUGGCAAGAAUGGUGCAAAAACUCGCAAAAAAACAAAUCAAAGACAUGAAUCUACUCCAAAAAUUAAAAUUAUUUUGUAAGCUGCACUUUUUUCAAAAUCCAUGUCAUUUUCAUCAAAUUCGGCUAAACUGUAGAGGAAUGUAUAUGGAAGAUGUAGGGAAGUUAAAAAUAUAGGGUCCAUGUGCUCGUUUUUUAACUAUGAGUGUCCAAAGUGUUGCGAGUUGGCAUGAAAAUCGCCUAAAAUGCGCCGAAAACGUGCAAAAGUCUAAUAAUACCGUCUAAAAUGUGAAUGGUUCCGUAGUUUUUCUCCCAAACAUUCAAAAUCCAUGUCAUUUUCAUCAUACUCUCUAAAUCUGUAGAGAAAUAUAUUUGAAAGCCAUAAAAAUAUUAAAAAUAUGGGGUCCAUGUGCUCGUUUUUUAAACUAUCAUUGUCCAAAGUGUUGCGAGUUGGCUUGAAAAUCGCCUAAAAUGCGCCGAAAACAUGCAAAAUUCUCUUAAUACCCUUAAAAAUGCAAAUGAUUCCAUAUUUCGCUCCCAAACAUUCAAAAUCCAUGUCAUUUUCAUCAUACUCUCCAUAUUUGUAGAGGAAUAUUUUCUGAAGGCGUUAGAAUAUUAAAAGUAUGGGGUCCAUGUGCUCGUUUUUAAACUAUCAGUGUCCAAAUUGUUGCGAGUUGGCUUGAACUAGCACAAAAUGCGCCGAGAAUACCGUCCAUACUGAGAAUACCGUCCAAAAUGUCUAAAAUACGAAUGGUUCUGUAGUUCUGCUCCCAAACACUCAAAAUCCAUGUCAUUUUCAUCUCACUCUCUAGAUUUGUAGAGGAAUUUAUUCUGAAGACGUUAAAAUAUUGAAAAUAUAGGGUCCAUGUGCUCGUUUUUAAAUUCUCAGUGUCCGAAAUAUUGCGAGUUGGCUUGAAACAGCCCAAAAUACGACAAAAACAUGAGCAAGCAAAAGUUUGAUAACACCGUCUAAAAUGCGAAUGGUUCCGUGGUCUUGCUCUAAACAUUGAAAAUCCAUGUCAUUUUCAUCAUAAUUUGCACAUGGAUACUUUAGCACCUGAAUAUUCCAAAUAUGCAGAAAUCAACAUGGGUCUAUGUGCUUGAUUUUUUGCUAUACAGUGCGUCCCAGAAAAAACGAAACCGAGAUUUAGUGAUGAUUUAUCAUAACUUAAUCGUAAAUACAAUAGACAAAUGACCUACCAAUGUAAAGCUUAGAAUCUCCUCUUUCAUCUGAAAUUACUUUGAUUAUUCCUCAUUCAUGCAUGAGUGAGUAAAAACAAUUUGAAGAAAGGAUACCAAAAACUCAUUUGGCGGGGGGUAUCUGAAUUUCAAAAAGAAAAUCACAUGCCUAAAAAAUUCAAUAUCUGCUCUUUUACUUGAUACCUUAAUCACAGAAAAUGGUCAAGAAAUACAAAAGUUCUGUUCCCUCGAAACAAUGCUUGUAUUUCCAUAAUUUCAUUAAAUAAACGUGUUUUCACCGGUUUCCCACAGAAGCUAUCGCACGGUUAACAAAAGACUGAAUGCAUGACUGAUCGUCGACAAAACGGAGUGUCGAGUGAGUCUGGAUGCUAGCCUGUAAAACCUCUUCAUUUUAUGAAAUUAUUGAAAUUCAAGCCUUAUUUCAAAUAUCCAGAACUUUGUUAUUUCUUGACCAUAUUUUGUAAUUGAUGUAUCAAAUUAAAGAGCAGAUAUUGAACUUUUUAAAAAUGUGGGUUUCUAUUUGAAACCCAGAUACAGCCCGCCAAGUGACUUUUUGGUAUCCCCUCUUCAAAUUGUUUUUGCUCACUUAUGCGUGAAUGAAAAAUAAUCUAGGGAAUUUCGGAUGAAAGAGGAGAUUCUAAGCUGUAAAAUGGUAGGUCAUUUGUCUAUUGUAUUUGUGAUUUUAAAAGUUAUAAUAAAUAAUCAAUAAAUUUCGGUUUCGUUUUUUGUGGAACGCACUGUAUAGCUUCAAAGUUCACCCAGAUGGAUGUUCUUAGAAUUGCGCAUUCAAAAGACUUUGGCAUUUUUAGACCUCACGAGAUUACAACAAAGAGUUUAAAGCUCUAUAUUACUCAGUCAAAAUCCAUGAAAAUUUCAUCAAAUUUCGCAUUAUAAUAAUUAAUAAUUGUAUCUUUAUGAUGGAUAAUAUAUUUAUAUUGGUAUUUGCUCUUUUAAGUUUAACAGCAUUCUCAAUUCUCAGAGAUUGCAUGAAAGACAACAAAAACUCAACUUCAAAGAAUGUGAAAUUUGGUAGAAGUACAAGAAUUGCUGCACUUUAUUCAAAACCCAUGUCAUUUUCACCAAACUUUACAAAGUUGUAGAGGAAGGUAUAACUUAGAGGUGCAAACAUUAAAAAAUAUGGGUUCAUGUGCUCGUUUUCAAACUAUCAGCACUUUUAUUAAAGCAAAUGUGCUUACCUAAACCCCCUAGAACGCGCUGAAAAGCUUUGUAUUAUGACAAAAAAUAUUUCCAAACCACUCUACAUUUUAUUCAAACUCGGGGUCAUAUUUGUCAUACUUUGCAGCACUACAGGGUAAAGUAUUUUAAAAAUUGUAGAGGAAUUUAAAAAAAAUGGUCCAUGCAAUAAUUCCAGUUUAUUAGCUUCAUAAAAUAACACAUCGGAUCUAAAGUUAGUGCAGAUAAGGUGAACAAUUAGCUCACACCUACAGCUGAUUAAUCACCUGUUCAUCCAUUGUGACGUCAGCGCGCAGAGUGUAAAUAAUGCGCAGAUCAUGAUGCGCAUAAACAUAACUGUGGAACGUCCUUAAAGCCUAUUUUCCCUCUAUCGAAAUCUAAAAAAGAUAGUAAACAAUUGAACCCUGGAUUUAAGCUAUUCAAAAAGGAUGUUGGUAGUAAUUAGUUUUUAAUCAUAAUGUGUUUAAUAGGUAUUUAUUUGUAUUUUAAAUGUAUUUUUAAGUAUGAAGAUAUGGUUUCAGUGAAGAGCUUUAAGUUUGUAUAUGCAUUAAUCAGUGAAUUGUGGUAUAAGAACUUGUAAUGGAAACAGAAUUUAUUUUUUGCUAUAUCAAUGAGCGUCAGAACUGCUGUUUUCUGCCUUUUAUCGCUUAGGGAGCGUCCAAAUUGUUCUCACUCUUAAGUUUUAUCCUACUAACAUCCUUAAAAAUGAAAUUUCCAUGAAGAUAUAUAUGUUUUUUUAGAACUGUGAGGUUAAAUGUAUUUUGUAAAAAAAAUCAUCAUUACUCAAUUCUAAAAAAACAACCACACUUUUCUGGAUCAAUUUGAUAACUUCAUAAUCAUGAAAUUAUAUUACAGGAAAUAGAACUCAAAGAUCAUUCUAUGAAAGGAUAAUAGGUAAUUCAUUUGCAUUGUAAACCUAUGAACAUCACCUAAAAUAUCUUCCUCAUUUGUCCUUUUGAUAGAAUUCUCUCUCAAGGCAAAAUAGAGAUUAUUAUAUGUUCUCUUUUAUCACCAUGAAAGUCAGAAAGGAAUGAAGUAACCGUUUUCCAAAAUAUUUUAGAGAGAGAGAGCAAGGGCUCUGGCCUAUAUUUUAUACAAGACAUCCAGGUUUGUAAUUCAUCCAAUUUCCUGAAGGAAAACUUGGGGCUUACUCUGUGUCUCUCUUUUCUGUUGAAGACUGCUUUAAACAACCAACACUUCCUGUCUGCGAUAGAAGAUAGAACCUCGAUAAACAAGCUUUUUAUUGUCUUGCAGCAAUUAGUCUAGAAUGAUUACCAACACCACUGCCCCAAGGAUUGACAUUCUCCAGAUGAGAAGUUUUUCUUUUCCAUCUCACUCUCUCUCUCAUCGAGGUACAGACAGACAUUGUAGAUUGAUAAAAGCUCCCUAUUAUUUCUUCUUUAUAAUAUUUCUUCUCAAACCUUAUUUACUUAUAUUAUUACGAGUAGCAUAUUCCUGUCAAUAUAACUCUGUGGUGUUGUGGCUUAGUGAAUGAUUCCUUUGGCAAGGUGUUUAUCUAAAUUUGUCACUCUCCACACAGGUGUAGUAAAUGGGUACCUGCAUGGAAAGAAGAAAUUUCUUGAAUGCUCGAGCGUACGAUCAGGGUAAUCGUGUUGAAACCAGGGGCGGUAUUCAGACCACUUUCCUUGAGUUUGCACUAGUCUGCUGCUCAAAGCUUUUGCUUGAGUUAAGGGUCUGAAUGUGCAGCCUACUCAUGCCUUGUGUACUGAAGGCCCUAUCACUCAGGAAACAGCAAGAUUUUAUGUGCUAGUCUUUGAGUGGAGACCAACUUGUUGAUCAAAGUUUCAAUCAGGGUCUGUGCCUGCAGACAAGGUUUGCACAGCAGACUAAUCCCACCAGCAGCUAUGGCACUGGCUUGAGUCUUUAAAUGGGAAAAAUCAGGUCCAGGAACAAAAAAAUGUUGAAUUACUAAUUUGUUUCUGAGAUGCCCCCCUCCACCCCCCCCCCAAAAAAAAAAAAAUGGGGGGGGGAGAAAUAACAAUAUAAUGGCUGACUUUGAAAACAAUCAAGAUGAAUAAUUUUUCACAAAGGGAGAAAAAAAAUGCACUAAGUUUGUUGACCUCAAGUGACCUUUGACCUUGAACUUUGACCUUAAACUUAGCAAUCUGUAUUCAUACUCAUCAAAUUAACGCCACAAACAGCACCAAGUUCUCAUUUCUGCUAUGCAGAAAUAAAUGAGAAAUAAAAUAAUGAUAAUAAACUGAUAAUAAGUGCUGAUAACAAUAAUGUUAUAAUUAUCAUUAAUAAUGAUUCUCAUCAUCUGCAAAUAGAUCAGAAUAUCCAAUAGGCAUCAGUCCAUGAACAAUGUAUAUCCCUUGUGUAAAGCAUUUGCGGUGUACAUGUACUGCCAUCGCACGUACCAUUCAGCCACUAAUACAGUGAAUCAACUUUUACAUGAAAUUCAAUGAAAUUCUGCCUUGUCUGACUGUCUUUGCAUAAUAUUUGGCUUGAAACUUGCUAACAAAGCACAAUCAAGCAUCAUCUGCCAGGGUAAUCCUUUCAAUUCCUGUAUAUAAAUAUCAGAAAAUUGCUACAGUUUAAAAAUUCCCAACAUUUCUUGAAAAUUCCAGAAAAUUCCAGAAAAUUCCCAAUAAAUUCCUGUUUAUUCCCAUGGAAAGUUUCUACCACGAGAAUUCCCUGGAAUUUUGCAACCCUAAUGAUGGUCCAUGGUUGACUUGGUCUAUAAGCAGUUGGUCUACUUCUUACUUUCUCAGGUAGAGUCAAAUACCACAUGGGCUAUACCUAUUUGGUCUACUAACAUUUUGGUCUAAUUGCUGUCUGGUGUACACCUCAUUUGGUCUUUACCCACUUCCAAUAGUCUAUUUCUUAUUUAGUCUAAUGCAUAGAAAGUCUAAUUUCCUCUUUGCUAAUUUUUUGUACCUUGUCAUAUAAAACUUUGAUUCAUAACAGAUCAUCUAAUCAUAUACACUAAGAUGUUAGAUCAAGUGGAUAUCAAAUGAAAUGGAAAUGGAUAUAAGCCUUAAUACUAGAAAUUAGACAAAUAAAUGGGCCAAAUAACAAUUGAAUCAAAUGAUAAGUAGAAAAACUGGUUAUAGCUGAACUAGGAUUAGACAUUAUGGGAUGAGACCAAGCUUAUUCUGAGGAUAUGAAAAACAAUUCAUCCAUGAUAUUUUUGUGAAACCUCUAUUACCUGUCUCUUCAUAAAAAAGCUGAAUUGAUUUUAUGA